UACGGAGGGUGCAAGCGUUAUCCGGAUUCACUGGGUUUAAAGGGUGCGUAGGUGGGUUGGUAAGUCAGUGGUGAAAUCUCCAGGCUUAACUUGGAAACUGCCAUUGAUACUAUCAAUCUUGAAUACCGUGGAGGUCAGCGGAAUAUGUCAUGUAGCGGUGAAAUGCUUAGAUAUGACAUAGAACACCAAUUGCGAAGGCAGCUGGCUACACGAAUAUUGACACUGAGGCACGAAAAGCGUGGGGAUCAAACAGGG
rnacentral:rRNA from 1 species